GCGUUGUCCGGAAUCAUUGGGCGUAAAGAGCGCGUAGGCGGCCCAGUAAGUCCGCUCUGAAAGUCAGGGGCUCAACCCCUGGAUGCGGGUGGAUACUGCUGGGCUAGAGUCCGGAAGAGGCGAGUGGAAUUCCUGGUGUAGCGGUGAAAUGCGCAGAUAUCAGGAGGAACACCGAUGGCGAAGGCAGCUCGCUGGGACGGUACUGACGCUGAGGCGCGAAAGCGUG
rnacentral:rRNA from 1 species